CCAUGCCUAGGCGGGGAACUAGCGGUGCCCUGUACCGGAAAUCCGCUUUAGCCGGGCUGAGUUAUCUUUUUGAGGAUAUAUUUUUAGUUAACCAGAAUAAUUUCAAAAGCGUUGAAGGUUGGGUCUGGUGCACUCCUGUUCCUCAAACCCCGUCAGGUCCGGAAGGAAGCAGCGGUAAGAGGGUUUGCAGCGAGGUGUUGCCAGGACGCCUGACUGGAGCAGAUGGAUUAUUAUGGCCUGAAGAUAUAUUCAAGAAAAGAUGGUAUGG
rnacentral:SRP_RNA from 1 species